UCCUGGUUAACCCAGGCAGUCUCAUUAGAGUCCCCACCUCGCGUGUUGGCAACUAAUGAUAAGGGUUGCGCUCGUUGCUGGACUUAACCAAACACCUCACGGCACGAGCUGACGACAGCCAUGCAGCACCUAUUCAAAGACCCUUGCGGGAAUUACCAUCUCUGGUAACGUCCUCUGAACUUCGAGCCCAGGUAAGGUUCUUCGCGUUGCAUCGAAUUAAACCACAUGCUCCACUGCUUGUGCGGGCCCCCGUCAAUUCUUUUGAGUUUCACCCUUGCGAGCGUACUCCCCAGGCGGUAUACUUAUCGCGUUAGCUACGACACAAUCAGGGUUGAGCCUAAUUACAUCAAGUAUACAUCGUUUACGGCAAGGACUAC
rnacentral:misc_RNA from 1 species